rnacentral:rRNA from 1 species
CCUACGGGCGGCAGCAGUAGGGAAUAUUGCUCAAUGGGGGAAACCCUGAAGCAGCAACGCCGCGUGGAGGAUGAAGGUUUUCGGAUUGUAAACUCCUUUUGUUAGAGAAGAUAAUGACGGUAUCUAACGAAUAAGCACUGGCUAAUACCGUGCCAGCAGCCGCGGUAAUACGGAGGGUGCAAGCGUUACUCGGAAUCACUGGGCGUAAAGAGCGCGUAGGCGGGUUAGCAAGUCAGAUGUGAAAUCCUAUGGCUUAACCAUAGAACUGCAUUUGAAACUGUUAUUCUAGAGUAUGGGAGAGGUAGGUGGAAUUCUUGGUGUAGCGGUAAAAUGCGUAGAGAUCAAGAGGAAUACUGAUUGCGAAGGCGGCCUGCUAGAACGUAACUGACGCUGAUGCGCGAAAGCGUGGGGAGCAAACAGGAUUAGAUACCCUAGUAGUC